GAUGAAGAACUAGCGAAAUGCGAUAAGUAAUGUGAAUUGCAGAAUUCAGUGAAUCAUCGAAUCUUUGAACGCACAUUGCGCCCCCUGGUAUUCCGGGGGGCAUGCCUGUCCGAGCGUCAUUACAACCCUCAAGCUCAGCUUGGUGUUGGGCCCCGCCGCCCCGGCGGGCCCUAAAGUCAGUGGCGGUGCCGUCCGGCUCCGAGCGUAGUAAUUCUUCUCGCUCUGGAGGUCCGGUCGUGUGCUCGCCAGCAACCCCCAAUUUUUUUCAGGUUGACCUCGGAUCAGGUAGGGAUACCCGCUGAACUUAAGCAUAUCAAUAAGCGGAGGA
rnacentral:misc_RNA from 1 species